rnacentral:rRNA from 1 species
UACGGGGGGGGUAAGCGUUGUUCGGAAUUACUGGGCGUAAAGGGCUCGUAGGCGGCCAACUAGGUCAUACGUGAAAUCCCUCAGCUUAACUGGGGAACUGCGUGUGAUACUGGAUGGCUUGGAUUUGGGAGAGGGAUGCGGAAUUCCAGGUGUAGCGGUGAAAUGCGUAGAUAUCUGGAGGAACACCGGUGGCGAAGGCGGCAUCCUGGACCAAUAUUGACGCUGAGGAGCGAAAGCCAGGGGAGCAAACGGG